AGCACUCAGCAGCAUCCGGGGGAGAGGAGGCAGGGCUUCUGGUGGGAGUCGCCUCAGCCGGCCCUUGGACUAAGAAAAUCAGGCCGCACCUCGUCAUCUUCUCAAAUCUUCGGCUUCAUACCUUGUUCUCGUUUACGUGGACUGUUUGCUCAUGGCCUUACCUCAACUGCAGACUGCAAUGUUGGCAGCGUUUUUGUGGGACCCUCGUGAUGUUGUGCUCACAGCGCAGCCUGGGGCUGAACAGUGCGCUGAGAGUUCGCAACAUAUAAGAAUCCUGCAGCCGCAGUUCAGGCUUAUCAGAUUGCGUUUCUGGAAGCUGUACAUCCAGAGAAGGGUGCAGGCCUGGCAGUUCUUAUGGAGCUUCAGGCUGCCCGGGGAGGCGCAGAAGAUUGAUCGCAUGAUGGAGGCUUUCGCUUCUCGCUACUGCCUGUGCAACCCCGGGGUCUUCCAGUCCACAGGUCAGUGCAGAGCCCACAGCCUGGCCCCUUGCCAGGCACAGCCUCCAGCUCUGGAGGGGGCGGCCCCUGUGGGCAC
rnacentral:lncRNA from 1 species